rnacentral:snRNA from 1 species
GGAUGUGAGGGCGAUCUGGCUGGCUAGGCGGGUGUCCGCUUCUUCCCUCAUCACUCCAUGUGCGUCCCUCCCGAAGCUGCACGCUCAGAGGAAGAGGAUGACCUUCCCCGAUAGAGGAGAAGACCGUUCUUCGGUCAAGGGUAUACGAGUAGCUGCGCUCCCCUGAUAGAAUCUCCAAACAAGUUCUCAAAGAAUGCAGUGAUCACCAGGAUGCUAUUGUGUCUCCAUCCUGAUUUGUCCCAUGACACUAACA